UGGGGAAUAUUGGACAAUGGGCGCAAGCCUGAUCCAGCCAUGCCGCGUGAGUGAUGAAGGCCCUAGGGUUGUAAAGCUCUUUCACCGGUGAAGAUAAUGACGGUAACCGGAGAAGAAGCCCCGGCUCACUUCGUGCCAGCAGCCGCGGUAUUACGAAGGGGGCUAGCGUUGUUCGGAUUUACUGGGCGUAAAGCGCACGUAGGCGGACUUUUAAGUCAGGGGUGAAAUCCCGGGGCUCAACCCCAGAACUGCCUUUGAUACUGGAAGUCUUGAGUAUGGUAGAGGUGAGUCGAAUUCCGAGUGUAGAGGUGAAAUACGUAGAUAUACGGAGGAACACCAGUGGCGAAAGCGGCUCACUGGACCAUUACUGACGCUGAGGUGCGAAAGCGUGGGGAGCAAACAGG
rnacentral:rRNA from 1 species